rnacentral:rRNA from 1 species
UCCGUAGGUGAACCUGCGGAAGGAUCAUUAGAAAAUUCUCGCCAUUUUAUGGCGUUAAUAAUAACGUAUUCAAAAACAAAAACUCUUUUAAUCAAUCAAAUUAAAUUUUAAAUAAAUGAUAACUUUCAACAACGGAUCUCUUGGCUCUCGCAACGAUGAAGAACGCAGCUAACUGCGAUAAGUAAUGUGAAUUGCAGAAUUUUGUGAAUCAUCGAAUUUUUGAACGCAAAUGGCACUCUCUGGUAAUCCGGAGAGUAUGCUUGUUUGAGGGUCAACGAAAAUAAAUCACAGACAUUAUUAUUAUUAUUAUUCUGUGGAAUUGGGCAUUUCAAGGAAAAUUCAAUUCCGUUUUGAUUGCCUAAAAAUGUUUCUUGGUUCGUUAGAUGUGAACUAAAAUCUUUGGAUCUCUGAUAAUGAACCGCAAAUCACGCAUUAUGAUCAUUCAUUCUAACGGAUGAAGGUUCAUAUGCUAUUAAAUUAAUGACCUCAAAUCAAGUAAGAUUACCCGCUGAACUUAAGCAUAUCAAUAAGCGGAGGAA